GUCGUUUCAAACACUGAACUGUGUAGGGGAGGAGGCAUGUCUCGGCACGUCCGACCUGUCUCUUCCCCGCCCCCGCUCUUGCCGGAGUUUGGACUGGAGUUCCGGUUGCCUUUUUUGCAGUGCCUCGGGGGUCCCCCCUCUAUGGCUUUCUGUCGGGCGGGCAUUCCGGUCUCUGCAAGUCACUCUCUUGCGGUUCGGGCUUAUACUGAAUGGGCGAGCUCGAGUGCUGUCUUCGUUGUGGCAACGAAAGGGCAUCCGUCUUCGGCUGCGAUGGGUGUGGAAGGCCCUGCUCCAUCGUAGUUGAGACGGCCCCUGUACUUUCCACUCUGACAGGCGGUUCCUUGAAAGCGCCCGCGGCAGCUCCGCGGACCGUUGCCUUUUUGGCCGGUGCGUGGGGCAGCUGCAACCCCCCGACACGUCGUCAGGCUGGGAUGUGCCGUGCAGAUAUUUCGUCCAUCGGGCGGCUGCACCCGCGUGCGUCGCGGGGCAGGGCCGGCGUCCGUGGGCGUUCUCAUCUGUCCGGCCUCCGGCCUUGUGACGUUGCGGGGCGGGGACACCCCUUCUCCGAUUUAUCCCGUGAGGCGUCGCUCUGGUCCCUGGGUGCAUCGCGGGAAGGAGCGUGUCAUUACACCCAACGCAUCGGUGCGGUCAGCACCAAGGAUUGAUAAGAGAUGGCCGUGCGAUCCGCACGCCGUGCGCGUGUUGGAUCUGCGGCACCACAAG
rnacentral:precursor_RNA from 1 species